rnacentral:rRNA from 1 species
AUGAACGCUGGCGGCGUGCUUAACACAUGCAAGUCGAACGAUGAAGCCCAGCUUGCUGGGUGGAUUAGUGGCGAACGGGUGAGUAACACGUGAGUAACCUGCCCUUAACUCUGGGAUAAGCCUGGGAAACUGGGUCUAAUACCGGAUAGGAGCGCCUACCGCAUGGUGGGUGUUGGAAAGAUUUAUCGGUUUUGGAUGGACUCGCGGCCUAUCAGCUUGUUGGUGAGGUAAUGGCUCACCAAGGCGACGACGGGUAGCCG